UGCAGUCGAACGCACUCUCGUUAGAUUGAAGAAGCUUGCUUCUGAUUGAUAACAUUUGAGUGAGUGGCGGACGGGUGAGUAACACGUGGGUAACCUGCCCUAAAGUGGGGGAUAACAUUUGGAAACAGAUGCUAAUACCGCAUAAAACCUAGCACCGCAUGGUGCAAGGUUGAAAGAUGGUUUCGGCUAUCACUUUAGGAUGGACCCGCGGUGCAUUAGUUAGUUGGUGAGGUAAAGGCUCACCAAGACCGUGAUGCAUAGCCGACCUGAGAGGGUAAUCGGCCACACUGGGACUGAGACACGGCCCAGACUCCUACGGGAGGCAGCAGUAGGGAAUCUUCCACAAUGGGCGAAAGCCUGAUGGAGCAACGCCGCGUGUGUGAUGAAGGCUUUAGGGUCGUAAAGCACUGUUGUAUGGGAAGAAAUGCUAGAAUAGGGAAUGAUUCUAGUUCGACGGUACCAUACCAGAAAGGGACGGCUAAAUAC
rnacentral:rRNA from 1 species